UACGUAGGGUGCAAGCGUUAAUCGGAAUUACUGGGCGUAAAGCGUGCGCAGGCGGUUAUGCAAGACAGAGGUGAAAUCCCCGGGCUCAACCUGGGAACUGCCUUUGUGACUGCAUAGCUAGAGUACGGUAGAGGGGGAUGGAAUUCCGCGUGUAGCAGUGAAAUGCGUAGAUAUGCGGAGGAACACCGAUGGCGAAGGCAAUCCCCUGGACCUGUACUGACGCUCAUGCACGAAAGCGUGGGGAGCAAACAGGAUUAGAACCG
rnacentral:rRNA from 1 species